UCCCUGGUGGCUCAGUGGUAAAGAAUCUGCCUGCAAUGCAGGAGACCCGGGUUCGAUCCCUGGAUUGGGAA
rnacentral:tRNA from 1 species